CUAAUCACAACAGGAUUAUUAUUAGUACCACCUUGCCUAAGCACAGAGUGAAGCAGGUGGAAAUAGCUAUAAAACAUAGUGGAGAGCCUCAUUGCAAAUCAUACCUUUCUCGGCCUUUUGGCUAAGAUCAAGUGUAGUAUCUGUUCUUAUCAGUUUAAUAUCUGAUAUGUGGGCCAUGUGUCCACAAUGGUAUUAAAUUUAUUUUUUAAGGGGAGGAUCCAACAUGAUAGCUUGCUACCGGGGCCCUCACGUGUCGCCUAGGCGUUGCACUAUUGCCUAUGCCAAUCCCAACCAA
rnacentral:sRNA from 1 species